rnacentral:lncRNA from 1 species
GGCAUCUGAGUGGGGAGUUGGUCCGGUGGUGAUGGCAAAGGGAGAUGAGGCGUCGACGGCGCUGCUGUCCGUCCGGUGGUGGUGGUCUGCCACUGACCGAAGAGAGAGAGAUUUCGAGGGAGGUCAGUGGCGGAGGUUGGCUUUCUCAGCUAAUGCGUCCGUCGGAUGAGGGAAGGAGGCGGCAUCACGUGGGUGGCGUCGUAGUCGGCGGGAGUCAGAGAGAGGGAGGCCAGGGCGCGGCGGCCCUGCCGCUGUCGCUCGGCCACAGACGGAGAGAGAGAUGGGGACGAGAGAAGGGAGAACCGAGGGUGUCAGUGGCUGUCGCCGCUUGCUCCGGCGAGCUCCGGCGGCGGUGGAUUUCGAUGGUGGAGGGGUGGAUUUUCUGGCAGAACUGAGGGAGAAGGGGGCGAGCAGAUUUUGAGAAGGAGAUAGGGAGACCCGUGUGUGUGCGUUGAGUGAGGAAAUAGGAGAGUUAGGGCUAGAGUGUUGGGCUUCUAUUUUGGGCCGAUUUUAAUAAGCUGGGCUGCCCCUUUUUUGUUGGGCUAGGAUUAUUCAUUGAGUGUUGGGCUGGUUUAUUUUAAAUUUUUAGGCCCGAUUUUUCUUAUUUAUUUGUUGGGUUACAGAUUUUUCAAAAGAGAUUGGGCCCUAUUAUUUAAUUUCUUGGGCUGCCUUUUUCUAAAAUUGGGUCAUGCAGUUUACUUUUAAUUAAUUAGACUUAAUUGGUUUGAUUAAUUAUUUUUAAAGAAUAAUUUGCUUAAUAAUAUUAUAUGAUUAUUAUGUGUAUAUUUUAAGUAAUCACUUAUUAUAUGCUAAGCAUGACAUGACAUUGCAUUUGCAUAAUGCAAUAAAAUAAUUUAUGAUUUAAUUGGUCUUAUUUGUAAAUCCAAUUAUUUAAGAAAAAGCGAGUAAGGAUAUUGUUGGUGUCGUUGACUCAAGAGUUAAUUUUUAAUUAUUUAUUUAUUAAAUUUUGAAAACCCGACGUGAUGAAUCAUAGUAGUUAAACACACCCACUAAGACUUUAAGUUAGUUUCACGAGACCUAUUAAGAAUAGAAUUUCUUGUAGGCUUUGUGGACCAAGGGGAUUAGCGCUGCUUUCCCGAGAUGAGUUUAUGUGAUUAUGAUCUUCAGGCUUGGCCUAUCCAGGUGGGUUUACUUUCCAAAUGUAUAAGUAUGAUUGAGUUAUUAAGCUCUAAAUGUUUCAAUGAAAUGCAAACUGUUUUUUCAAUAAAGUGCAAACUGUUUAUCCAAUAAAAUGUUUAUGUGCACUCUGCUCUGUUUAAGGCUCGCAAAGUUAAUCAAUUGAGGUUCUCUUAUGAUCUAACACGUUAUUUGAGAAUUGUGUGCACUUGUUAGCUGACUUGGUGGGUUGAUCUCCAUCGGGCACUAACCAAGCGUUAUAAGGGUCUCGGCUGAUGUGUUCCGAGCAUGAGAAAUAUGAGGCCUGUCUAGGUAGCGUCCCGAGGUCAAAGUAAACUUGUCUGGGUUACGCCCUCAGUUCAAGUAAGCAGGAGACAGAGAUCCGUUGGUGGCUAAAAGGUCCGGAUCACAGCGAGUAACAGAAAUGGAGUGUGACAUGUGCGCACAAAUGAAAGAAAUUAUUUUAAUAUGCUUAGAAGUUCUUUCAAUUUAAAACCUUCUAAGUUAUGUCAAUUAUGAUUGGAUAAACUGUCUUUACGAAAAUAUGAAAUGUUUCAGAAAAUGCAUGCCCACUAAGUACAUUAGUACUUAGCCCAAAAGUACUUUCAAAUGUUUUCAGGUUGGCUGGCUGGUGCUGACGGGACUGAGCUGAGGCUAGGGUUCAACUUCAUUUUAAGACUUCUGCUGUAGCAGUAGAUAAUAUCAUGUAUUUUGAAUUCUUAACUUAAGAUUUUCAUGUUAGAUUUAGAAUGACAUCUCUGAUUGAGCUUAAACACUUAACUCCUAAUUUUAUGCUAAUGAAUACGGGUUAUGAGAAGCAUGAAACAAAACUUGUGAUCCAAAGGGGCCUAACCCG